GCUAGCGUUGCGAACGAUGGUCCUUCCACGUGGAAGGUGAAAAGGGAAGCCGGUGCGAGCGAUUUCAAACCCGGCGCUGCCCCCGCAACUGUGAGCGACGAGCCCGCGCCGAGGCCACUGGGAUGUUCCUGGGAAGGCGGCGAGGGGCUUUGACCCGCGAGCCAGGAGACCUGCCAUCGUGAAGAGUGCUUUG
rnacentral:ncRNA from 19 species